GAUGAACGCUGGAGGCGUGCUUAACACAUGCAAGUCGAACGGAGUGGCGAACGGGUGAGUAAAACGUGGGAGAACUGAACAGUACUUCGGGAUAAGCUUGGGAAACUGGGUCUAAUACCGGAUAGUAUGGGAUGAGCUCGCGGCCUAUCAGAUAGUUGGAGGGGUAAUGGCCUACCAAGGCGUCGACGGGUAGCCGGCCUGAGAGGGUGUACGGCCACAUUGGGCCUGAGAUACCUCCCAGACUCCUACGCGAGGCAGCAGUGGGGAAUAUUGCACGAUGGGCGCAAGCCUGAUGCAGCGACCCCGCGUGGGGGAUUAAUGCCUUCGGCUUGUAAACUCCUUUCGCUAGGUACGCGUUACCUGGAGAAGAAGCACCGGCUAACUACGUGCCAGCAGCCGCGGUAAUUC
rnacentral:rRNA from 1 species